ensembl:lncRNA
GUUAAACUUUUAUAAAGUACUGAGCAGGUGGUGGGCUGGGCGCCCGGCUUAGUUACCACUGCCGGAAGCCUGCUGAAUAGGGUUCACCUGGGGUGGAGGGGGGUAUCAGGUUCUCUGAAGGGGCCAAGAAAUGGAGAAGGCGGUCCCAGAGAAUGGGGGCCCUCUGUUAGCCAUUUAUUACGCCGCACGGUGGAGCAGGCAGGCGACAAGGAGAACAAUCUGCAGCAGCUCAGCAAGGCUGGCAGGGGGCGUGGGGGAGGAAAGAGACUCCAGAUGUGGCUGGAUUUUCUGGCUCCAGGACCCCGGGCUUGACUCCCCUUCUCCUUCCACAAGUGCCCAGAACCCAGGAGGAUGAAGCAGGGUCUGCUGGCUCAGGAAGCACUGCUGUGGCCGCGCAGGCUGGCCUCCUCCAGUCGCAGGAGAGGCUGCCCCAACCGACAGGCUCCCAGGGCUGGACAGGACCGGAUGGGACUCUGGACUUGUCAAGGUCACCAGCGUUCUUGGCUAAACCUCAGGGGAGGAAAAGGUGGAUGAAAAAAAAGAAAAAAGAAAAAAAGGCAGCCGGAUGGAAGAGGCGCCAAAGGGAAGGAAACCAAACUAGGAGAGGAACCAAGAGGGAUGGGCCACCUCGGAGAGUGCUGGGGUGGGAACAGGGUUGGAUGCCAGAGGGCCGGCGGGUCACUGCCAGCCCUGAGAAGCGCCAGGGUUGCCUGGCUGCAAGAUGCAGCCUCAUGAAAGUUGCGGAGGGUCCCCUGGGGGGACAGAUGAGUGGACGGCAGGUAACAUUUACAGUGCUCCUGGCAUUGAGCAGAAUGUCCAAAGAGGUGGCAUCUCAUUUGAUCCCAACAGCUGCCCGGUGUGCUGUGUUCCACUAGACACCCCCCCCCCACUUUAGAGACGAGGAAACUGAGGCUCUGAGAGUUGAGGGGCUUGCCCACAUAGCAGUGGACUUGAAUGGAGCUUUAUGCUAAAGUCCAUGUUCACAGGCCUAUGUUACACUGACUUUAAAGAGAGAAUGAAUCGGAGCUGGGUGAUUGGAAGAAUAAGAGGGGCAGCGUGGUCUUGGGAGGCUUGGCCGGGCCGAGCGGGCUAGGUGGGCAGUGCCAACCAGGAGGCAGCAUGUCCAAUGAGACUACAGAGGCCAGGACGGUCCGCUGGGCCCAGGGCUGCCGGGAGGACCUGGGCCAGCCCGAAGCUGCAGCGGGGCAGCUGGCCCAGGGCAGUGUAGAGCUCCUCUGAAGUAGAGUCUGAUGUAAUCCCCGCCUGCAGAGGGCGGAAACUUGGGAAAUGAAACCAGCCGUCACCUCGCUGCAACCCGGCCACAGAUUUCCAACGGCCAUGCCAGGCGGGCCUCACCCCUGCCACAGUCUAAGGCCUCUGCCCUCCUCCCUGGGGCCCAGGGGAGCACCGCCAACCUUGCCCCCAGACCCAGUCCAGCGCUGAGACAUGCUCGGAGUAAAGCUGAUGAGAAAGCAGAGGGUUUCUAGCCAACGCCCUGGGAAGCCUGCCAUCGGGAAGCUGACGGUCUCACCGCCUUCUGGAGCAGACGUGGGGCUCACCUCUCCAGCGGGCUUUCCGCAUACUUGGAGGGGUGAGGGGAGGUACUCCAGGGUGGCAUGGUGAGCCAUCCUCUGUCCGCACUGAACCUGCCUGAAGUGAUCUGGUCAGGCUGCCCGGGCAAGUGGCAGACAAGAUGUGUGGUGAGGUCCGAAUUCCAGGCAGGCCCCGUGCACUUCCACAUGACCGAAGGCCCCAGGGCAGGUGGGGUGGCCUCCAAAGGACCCAGGCACGCUGGUCAGCCAUUUGGGACACCAGACUGGGGCCUGGCCCCCUUGAGGACCUCCUGACCAGCUCUUGGCCCAGGAGGGUCCUCAAGCAAGGCCUUCCAGCUGGUAAACCACAGAAUUCACUAGUCUGUGCGGGCAGCUCACAGCGUGGGUGUAGAUCCCUGGCCCGGAUGCAUGCCCAGUCAUAAGCAUUCCUGGCCUUCAUGCCAGGUCCUGAAGCUUUGAAUCUCACACACAAGCAAUUCUAACCCCUGACCAGCAGAGUGUCUUUCCC